rnacentral:lncRNA from 10 species
CUCCAGGUGUGGUGGUGUGCCGCUGUAUUCCCAGCUACUUGGGAGGCUGAGGAGGGAGAAUCACUUGAACCUGGGAGGCGAAGGCUGCAAAUGAGCUGAGAUGACGCCACUGCACUCCAGCCUGGGCAGCAGAGUGAAACCCUGUUUCAAAAAAGAAGGUCCCACCUUGGAGACUGUGAUCUAACUGGUAAAGAAAGCAGGAAACUGUGACUAAAUGAAGAUCACAGAGCCAGUUGAUCAGUGGGGAAGCUGCAUCUGAAAUCCAGGACUUCUAGAUCCUGGGUCAACUGGUAAUCACAAGCGUACAGAUAACAGGCAGGCAGGAAUGUGAAAAUCAGAGAGAAGAGAGAUGUGCACCAGAAGCUGGAGUAAUGUGCUUUGAAGAUGGAGGAAGGGACCAUAAAUCAAGGAAUGCAGACAGCCUGUAGAAGCUGGGAAAGGCAAGGAUGUGGAUUCACUCGAGUCUCUAGAAGAAACGCAACCCCGCCAACACCUUGAUUUGAGGACGUCUGACCUUCAGAAUGAGAAAAUGAUACAUUUGUGUUGUAAGCCACCCAGUUUGUGAAAUAUGUAUCAACAAUUGAAAACUAGUACAUAGUCAAAUACUCAAUCUCUGUUUUUUUUAGCUUAUCAUUUUCAAUCUCUGUCUCCAACCCACAAACCACAUGCAUCAUAAAUAAAUUAAAAUACCAAAA